ACUCAAAUGAAUUGACGGGGGCCCGCACAAGCGGUGGAGCAUGUGGUUUAAUUCGACGCAACGCGAAGAACCUUACCAGCCCUUGACAUGUACUGGAAUGCCCGCAGAGACGUGGGCAGCCGCAAGGCCAGUACACAGGUGUUGCAUGGCUGUCGUCAGCUCGUGUCGUGAGAUGUUGGGUUAAGUCCCGCAACGAGCGCAACCCUCGCCAUUAGUUGCCAUCAUUAAGUUGGGCACUCUAGUGGGACUGCCGGUGAUAAGCCGGAGGAAGGUGAGGAUGACGUCAAGUCAUCAUGGCCCUUACGGGCUGGGCUACACACGUGCUACAAUGGCGGUGACAGUGGGCAGCGAGGCAGUAAUGCCAAGCUAAUCUCAAAAAGCCGUCUCAGUUCGGAUUGAGGUCUGCAACUCGACCUCAUGAAGUCGGAAUCGCUAGUAAUCGCGCAUCAGCACGGCGCGGUGAAUACGUUCCCGGGCCUUGCACACACCGCCCGU
rnacentral:rRNA from 1 species